UAAGGUGCGGUAGUGCCGUGCCGGGAGAGAAUCCGUUUUCCCCGCGGAGCUCCCUCGGAGGUGGGAGUGUCUGGGAUGGUGCGAAGAGAAGGGACAGGCAGGGUGGUUCAGAUGAGUAUCACCUGCGGUGGCUCCUUGGGGCCAACCCUGGAGGAGGUUCUUGGGGAGCGUGGGGUCGCCCCCAGCCUGUACCGCCGCAGCUGCUAGCCGGGCGCUCCGUAGGGCCAAGCCCGCUCUGGCCUGGCAGCACCACCUGACCAGGUUCUUCGUUUCGGGGCGUUUUGUUAUCGAGGCCAAGCCACUGAAAGCGGACUCUGAGUGUUCAGACACAUAAAAGGUUCUGGGAGAAAUGAUGACAGCUCUACGUCUUCUAUAUUGUGCAAUCAGCGAGGUUAAUACUAAAGGAAGUUGACAGACUCUUAACAACAUUAAACUGAACUGAAUAAUACCACUAACACAAUGCUCUUUUAAGGGCCUUUUUCAGAGCUGCUCCAUUUGUUUUAGCCAAGAUGAUGCACAGAAAGUUGUGAGAAGAUGAAAAGAGUAAGUCCAUUGAUGUCAAAGCUUGGACAAGCCUGGACUCUAAGCGUGCAAAUUAAUGUGGAGUAUCAUAUUAACUGCUCUCCAAAAUGGACUUAGGGUGUCCCUUUUGUUGUUUCUCUUCUAUAGAGAAAUUGUGUCAUAAAAUCUUUUGUUCUUACUCAUAUAGGCAAACUCAAACCAUAUAUAGGAAGGUGUUGGACAGCACCUGCCUGUACAAUAAGUUUUAUCAUAUUAAAUAACUUGUUAAAACAU